UAAAAGUUAUUAUUAUCCUUGUAAUAUUCCAAACCGUUACGAAACUUCGACCUAUAUAUACAGUUAGAAAUUGAAUUUUGUAAAACAGCUUAUUCCCCGCCAAAUGAAAGAGAAUCAAACGCCACAGAAACUCACUGCUCGCUCCGCAGAGAAUCGCAUUGGAAGAUUAAAGGAUUUUCCAUCGAAGAAGAACAAGUCUAACAAGGCACAAAUCAAUCCCUAAACCUCAAUUACUUCUUCUUUUUACAUUUCCUUUUCAGAUUCACGUGUUAUUCGUUUUCUUCUCUUUCUCCAGAUCUCGAACAAGUGCUUGAAUGAAUCAUUUGCAUCGCUUUCUGAAGAAUCUGUGGAUUUAUCACCGAUUUCUGAUAUUACUCACACAAAUUUCAACGAAGAUGUUACAACGUUCUUGUUAGAAGAAUCUUCCUCUGUGACUUUGCUUCAACCUGAUACAUUACAGUCUGAAAAGAUCACUGACACAACGGAAAAUAGUUCCUCUAAUUGCUUCGAUAUCUGCGAGUUUACGAAAUUUGCUUGUGUGGAGGAUGAGAUCGCUAUGAAUUUUCUCAAAAAUGUUAAACCUAAUGAGAUCCUUACUUCUUCGGUCAAUGCUGCUCCUCAAUAUAGAAAGAUUACAGACGAGAUAAUUCAGUAUGUCACAGACGAUCUCAACAGCGAUACGCUGCCAGUGGAAAGAUGUCAUAGAUGUUCUCAAUUGCAAGUGCGUUCGAGGAAAAAUCGAUUUCUGUCUCUAUGUGUCUUCAUUUGCUUCAUUGGAGUAUUGGUUGUGAUUCUCUUCACUCCUGAUGUUGAUUGUGGACUAGUGCCAACUUGAACCAUUCUAGUGAGGUUGAUUUGCUA